rnacentral:rRNA from 1 species
UACAGAGGUCCCAAGCGUUGUUCGGAUUCAUUGGGCGUAAAGCGCACGUAGGCGGUCGGCUAUGUCGGAUGUGAAAGCCUCGGGCUUAACCCGAGAAGGGCAUCCGAAACUGGCCGGCUUGAGUACGGAAGAGGGUCUCGGAAUUCCCGGUGUAGCGGUGAAAUGCGCAGAUAUCGGGAAGAACACCCGUGGCGAAGGCGGCUCUCUGGGACGGUACUGACGCUGAGACGCGAAAGCGUGGGGAGCGAACAGG